UUGACAACUCUUGACAUUUAAAUUUUUCGCGUCGAUUUUGCUUGUGUGCAGUUUUUAUCGCGUUCUUCAUCAAUUUUAGAUACCUUGCUUUUUAUCGUUCCGGCCACCAGAUUCGUUGGUUUUCAUAAAGUUUCAUUUGCCUGUGCCACUUCCACCCGUGUUUAUAAGGCGUAAUAUUCAACUGGAGAUACCUUGCUUUUUAUCGUUCCAGCCACCAGAUUCGUUGGUUUUCAUAAAGUUUCAUUUGCCUGUGCCACUUCCACCCGUGUUUAUAAGGCGUAAUAUUCAACUGGAGAUACCUUACUUUUUUAUCGUUCCGGCUGCUGUAUUAUCCGAUUCUUGUGUGUUGGUUGGUAUAUCGGAAGCUUUAGUGCAAGAUGUUCGAAGAAAAACUUAUAGCAGAGAUUGAAAAACACAACUGCUUGUGGGACAAACGACAGCUUAGUUACCGCGAUCGGGUGAAGAAAGAUUUGGCUUGGCGAAAUGUAGCUGCUGCUGUGGGACAUCCUGAGGAAAACUGCCGAAAGCGAUGGAAAUCGUUAAGAGACCGAUAUGGAAUAGAAUUGAAGGUUGAUCAACAAC